rnacentral:rRNA from 1 species
UACGUAGGGUGCGAGCGUUAAUCGGAAUUACUGGGCUUAAAGGGCGCGUAGGCGGGCUGUCAAGUCUGGGGUGAAAUCCCGCGGCUCAACCGUGGAACUGCCUCAGAUACUGACGGUCUCGAGGGAGGUAGGGGCGAGCGGAACUGUGAGUGGAGCGGUGAAAUGCGUUGAUAUCCACAGGAACUCCGGUGGCGAAGGCGGCUCGCUGGACCUCUUCUGACGCUGAGGCGCGAAAGCCAGGGGAGCAAACGGG